rnacentral:sRNA from 1 species
UUAAUCUAUAGCUGAAUCUUUGCUCAAAGGCUGAAUCUCAGUGGAUUGUCGUUGAAUUUU